rnacentral:rRNA from 1 species
CUACGGGAGGCUGCAGUGAGGAAUAUUGCACAAUGGGGGGAACCCUGAUGCAGCAACGCCGCGUGGAGGAUGACGCAUUUCGGUGUGUAAACUCCUUUUAUAUGUCAAGAAAAUGACGGUAGCAUAUGAAUAAGCACCGGCUAACUCCGUGCCAGCAGCCGCGGUAAUACGGAGGGUGCAAGCGUUACUCGGAAUCACUGGGCGUAAAGGACGCGCAGGCGGGUUGGAAAGUCAGGUGUGAAAUCCUACAGCUUAACUGUAGAACUGCACUUGAAACUUCUAAGCUAGAGUAUGGGAGGGGGAGAUGGAAUUAGUGGUGUAGGGGUAAAAUCCGUAGAUAUAACUAGGAAUACCUAAAGCGAAGGCGAUCUCCUGGAACAUUACUGACGCUAAGGCGUGAAAGCGUGGGGAGCAAACAGGAUUAGAUACCCGUGUAGUC